rnacentral:rRNA from 1 species
AUACGUAGGUGACAAGCGUUAUCCGGAUUUACUGGGCGUAAAGGGCGUGUAGGCGGUCUUGCAAGUCAGAAGUGAAAUUCCUGAGCUCAACUCGGGCGCUGCUUCUGAAACUGCAGGACUUGAGUGCUGGAGGGGAUAGCGGAAUUCCUAGUGGAGCGGUAAAAUGCGCAGAUAUUAGGAAGAACACCGGUGGCGAAGGCGGCUAUCUGGACAGUAACUGACGCUGAGGCGCGAAAGCGUGGGGAGCAAACAGGAUUAGAUACCCUGGUAGUCCACGCAGUAAACGAUGAUGGCUAACCGCUGGUUUAUUCGGAUCAGUGGCCAAGCGAAAGCGAUAAGCCAUCCACCUGGGGAGUACGACCGCAAGGUUGAAACUCAAAGGAAUUGACGGGG